CGCCUUGCCAGCCCGCUCAGAACUUAAAUGAAUUGACGGGGCCCGCACAAGCGGUGGAGUAUGUGGUUUAAUUCGAUGCAACGCGAAGAACCUUACCUGGUCUUGACAUCCCGGAGACCCUUAGGAAACUAGGGGGUGCUUCCAUCUGGAAGAAUCUGGAGACAGGUGCUGCAUGGCUGUCGUCAGCUCGUGUCGUGAGAUGUUGGGUUAAGUCCCGCAACGAGCGCAACCCUUGCCUUUAGUUGCCAGCAGUUCGGCUGGGCACUCUAAAGGGACUGCCGGUGUUAAACCGGAGGAAGGUGGGGAUGACGUCAAGUCCUCAUGGCCUUUAUGACCAGGGCUACACACGUACUACAAUGGCCGAUACAAAGGGCAGCGACACUGCGAGGUGAAGCCAAUCCCGUAAAAUCGGUCUCAGUCCGGAUUGGAGUCUGCAACUCGACUCCAUGAAGUUGGAAUCGCUAGUAAUCGUGGAUCAGCAUGCCACGGUGAAUACGUUCCCGGGCCUU
rnacentral:rRNA from 1 species